UUCGGAUUGUAGUCUGCAACCGACUACAUGAAGCUGGAAUCGCUAGUAAUCGCGAAUCAGAAUGUCGCGGUGAAUACGUUCCCGGGUCUUGUACACACCGCCCGUCACACCAUGGGAGUCGGAAAUGCCCGAAGUCAGUGACCUAACCGAAAGGGAGGAGCUGCCGAAGGUGGAGCCGGUAACUGGGGUGAAGUCGUAACAAGGUAUC
rnacentral:rRNA from 1 species